CCAGCAGUUGCAUUGGUUCGCAGUACAUAUUUAGUGUGAUCCUAUGCUACGGAUGCAAUGAGUUUUCAUUCUCAAGUGAUUUGGUAGGUGAACUUGAGGAUAAUUUUAUGAUCUUCUGAUUCCUGCUUUCUGUUCCUGCUUCCUAGGUGCGUGUGUGAUCCAAUCUGAUGAGUUGGUUAAUUAUCUACCUAGCGAUACACUGAAAUUACAGCAGCACUAUACUACAUGGUUCGACAAGAUUUCAGAUGCAAGACAUGCACAAGUUUUAAUCUCUUCUUAAAUUGGUUGUCUUGACUACUGAGUUAACUGAUGAUCAGGUGCAUGCUGAGCAUAAUUAAGAACAUUAAUUGGUGCACAGCAUCCAGUUUUGCUCCUCCUCCUCCCUUCAGUUUCAACCACAUGUCAUGCAAGAAAAUGUUGACCAUCUGGGAGAUAAAAGAGGAUAUUUAGAUAGCUAGCGUCGGAUUAUCUUUUUCAUAGGAAGAUAGAUAUGAUCACGCCGAGGAGUAUGGUAUCCAUCUUCCAUUGAGAUGUAUUUGUCUAUGGCAUGACAAUCCCUAAGUGUGAUAGGGAAGCUAUGAAAGAAAGCCAUGAGCAAGUGGGGAGGGAGGUGUUUCUGUCUUUUUACCCUAAAAUCGUACUUCAUGGCAUACUUGUUUUGACUUUUGACAAUAAAAUUGUGGGGCAGUCAUCCGAGCUAGGUUAUCAUGUGUUCCCAUGUACAAGAGGCAAAGGUGUCUUUAAAUUGGGAUCCUAUCUUGGAUAGAUAGUCUUUUGGAAGUUUUAGAAUCAAAAGUGAAGGUAGAUUUGUGA